rnacentral:rRNA from 1 species
UUCCGUAGGUGAACCUGCGGAGGGAUCAUUACAAGAAGCCGAAAGGCUACUUCAAACCAUCGCGAACUCGUCCAAGUUGCUUCGGCGGCGCGGCAUCCCGUCACCGGGGCGCCGCAGCCCGGCCUCUCCGGAGGUGCGGGGCGCCCGCCGGAGGUACGAAACUCUGUAUUAUAGUGGCAUCUCUGAGUAAAAAGCAAAUAAGUUAAAACUUUCAACAACGGAUCUCUUGGUUCUGGCAUCGAUGAAGAACGCAGCGAAAUGCGAUAAGUAAUGUGAAUUGCAGAAUUCAGUGAAUCAUCGAAUCUUUGAACGCACAUUGCGCCCGGUAGUACUCUACCGGGCAUGCCUGUUCGAGCGUCAUUUCAACCCUCAAGCCCUGCUUGGUGUUGGGGCCCUACGGCUGCCGUAGGCCCUGAAAGGAAGUGGCGGGCUCGCUACAACUCCGAGCGUAGUAAUUCAUUAUCUCGCUAGGGAGGUGCGGCGUGCUCCUGCCGUUAAAGACCCCAUCUUUAACCAAGGUUGACCUCGGAUCAGGUAGGAAUACCCGCUGAACUUAAGCAUAUCAAUAA